rnacentral:rRNA from 1 species
AAGACUCGGUAAGGCGAGAGACGCAAACGUUAGUCGUCUUGAUCAGGCGUAAAGGGUUUGUAGGCGGCUUUAAGUAUCUAAUUUUUAGUUUACUAUUUUAAUAUCGGAGGNCUCAGGNCACUCCGUGUUUCAUUUAAAUUUAAAUUUAAGUAAAAUUAGAUAAUUUGAUAUUAAAAAAAUAAAGAAAGGAUCAAUUAAAGCUAGAAUCUAAAAGAGGUUAAAACAAUACUUCAGAAAGGAGUGCUAACCGUAGAUAAGGAGCAGAGUGUUAAGGGCGAAGGCAUUUAUCCAAUAAAGAUUGACGCUGAGAAACGAAGGUGAGGACAGAAAAAAGGAUUAGAGACCCUUGUAUCCCUCACUGUCAACGAUGAAUGGUAGUUACUAGUAAGAAAUAAGCUAGAGACGAUGUUAACACGUAAACCAUUCCGCCUUGUGAG